CCUACGGGUGGCAGCAGUGGGGAAUAUUGGACAAUGGGCGAAAGCCUGAUCCAGCCAUGCCGCGUGUGUGAAGAAGGCCUUCGGGUUGUAAAGCACUUUCAGUGGGGAAGAAAGCCUUGGGGCUAAUACCCUCGAGGAAGGACAUCACCCACAGAAGAAGCACCGGCUAACUCCGUGCCAGCAGCCGCGGUAAUACGGAGGGUGCGAGCGUUAAUCGGAAUUACUGGGCGUAAAGCGCGCGUAGGCGGUCUGAUAAGCCGGUUGGGAAAGCCCCGGGCUCAACCUGGGAACGGCAUCCGGAACUGUCAGGCUAGAGUGCAGGAGAGGAAGGUAGAAUUCCCGGUGUAGCGGUGAAAUGCGUAGAGAUCGGGAGGAAUACCAGUGGCGAAGGCGGCCUUCUGGACUGACACUGACGCUGAGGUGCGAAAGCGUGGGUAGCAAACAGGAUUAGAUACCCGGUAGUC
rnacentral:rRNA from 1 species